GGCUCAGUUGGUAGAGCAUGGCGUGUGCAACGCCAGGGUUGUGGGUUCGAUUCCCAC
rnacentral:tRNA from 1 species